GGAUCCAGACUUUGAUCAUGGCUCAGGAUGAACGCUAGCUACAGGCUUAACACAUGCAAGUCGAGGGGCAGCGGUAUCGAAAGCUUGCUCUCGGUAGCCGGCGACCGGCGCACGGGUGAGUAACGCGUAUCGAACCUGCCUCAUACUCGGGAAUAGCCUUGCGAAAGUAAGAUUAAUGCCCGGUGUUUUCAGAGUCCCGCAUGAGGCUUUGAACAAAGAUUUAUCGGUAUGAGAUGGCGAUGCGUCCCAUUAGCUUGUUGGCGGGGUAACGGCCCACCAAGGCAUCGAUGGGUAGGGGUUCUGAGAGGAAGGUCCCCCACAUUGGAACUGAGACACGGUCCAAACUCCUACGGGAGGCAGCAGUGAGGAAUAUUGGUCAAUGGGCGGAAGCCUGAACCAGCCAAGUAGCGUGCAGGAAGACGGCCCUCCGGGUUGUAAACUGCUUUUAGUUGGGAAUAAAACGGGGCUCGUGAGCCCCCUUGCAUGUACCAUCAGAAAAAGGACCGGCUAAUUCCGUGCCAGCAGCCGCGGUAAUACGGAAGGUUCGGGCGUUAUCCGGGUUUAUUGGGUUUAAAGGGAGCGCAGGCGGACCUUUAAGUCAGCUGUGAAAUACGGCGGCUCAACCGUCGAACUGCAGUUGAUACUGGAGGUCUUGAGUGCACACAGGGAUGCUGGAAUUCAUGGUGUAGCGGUGAAAUGCUCAGAUAUCAUGAAGAACUCCGAUCGCGAAGGCAGGCAUCCGGGGUGCAACUGACGCUGAGGCUCGAAAGUGCGGGUAUCAAACAGGAUUAGAUACCCUGGUAGUCCGCACAGUAAACGAUGAAUACUCGCGGUUUGCGAUACAUUGUAAGCCGCCAAGCGAAAGCGUUAAGUAUUCCACCUGGGGAGUACGCCGGC
rnacentral:rRNA from 1 species